GACAGAGGGGGCAAGCGUUGCUCGGAAUCACUGGGCGUAAAGGGCGCGUAGGCGGGUGCUCAAGUCUGUGGUGAAAUCCUCCGGCUCAACCGGAGAACGGCCAUGGAUACUGGGUGCCUCGAGGGUGAUAGGGGUAUGCGGAACUAUCGGUGGAGCGGUGAAAUGCGUUGAUAUCGAUAGGAACUCCGGUGGCGAAGGCGGCAUACUGGAUCACUUCUGACGCUGAGGAGCGAAAGCCAGGGGAGCAAACGGG
rnacentral:rRNA from 1 species